UAAAGGCAAGAAGGCUUUAGAACGAAAUACAGCAAGCCGGGUUCUACGAAGGAUUGAAAAUCAGCUAACAUAUCUGCGUGGCUGUGGGUAUGAAUCAAUCGUUAUCUAUUACAAGAAAGGACCAGCACGGGUGACACAUGGUAUCCUACCAAAAAACGUAAUACAAGAAGAGGACAAGAAGAUCUUCACCACUAACUUCUUUUUGUCACGCACAAGGAAGCUUGAUGCAGAUAAACUUACAUUAGGAUCAGAAGGUGAUAGCGAUAAUGCCCUGGAAAAAAAUCAUGACGAGCUACAAGUGCAGCAGGUGCAUCAAGUCCAAAAAGUACCGCAGGUGCAAGAAAUUCAACAAGUACAAAAAGUUCCGCAGGUGGAACAUUUACAAAAAGUUCCGCAGGUGCAACAAGGGCUACCAUUAGCAAUCAUUCAGAAACAGCAAGAAGUACAAGUAGUAAAAUUUGAACCACAGGGAACUACACCAGGAAAACAGUGUAGUAACAACGGAAUGGGAAUUUUAAAAUACCUGAG